rnacentral:lncRNA from 1 species
AUAUGGUGAGGAGUGAGGAGGAUUUACAUGUGAUGCUGAACGAGAGAGGAUGCAAUGUGUGAACGGGCGAUGCUGAAUGAGAGAGGAGGAAAUGGGCGAUGCUGGAUGAGGAGAGAGGAGAGAGAGGGCGAGAUGAGAGUGAGGGUAAUGCUGGGAAAAGAGAUGAGAGAGAGAUAUCGAUUUUGGGAGGAGAUAGGAGAGAAAGUGGAUGAUGAUGUAUCACUCUUGGCUCUAUCUCUUCUCUUCCGUUCUCCUUUGAUGGUUUCAUAUAUUUUUACUCAGUUUCCCAAAGCUGUUUCGAUUUGUUUCACAAAAGAUAUGCAUACAUACAAAAU